rnacentral:rRNA from 1 species
AGAGUUUGAUCCUGGCUCAGGAUGAACGCUGGCGGCGUGCCUAAUACAUGCAAGUCGAGCGAACGGACGAGAAGCUUGCUUCUCUGAUGUUAGCGGCGGACGGGUGAGUAACACGUGGAUAACCUACCUAUAAGACUGGGAUAACUUCGGGAAACCGGAGCUAAUACCGGAUGAUAUUUUGAACCGCAUGGUUCAAAAGUGAAAGACGGUCUUGCUGUCACUUAUAGAUGGAUCCGCGCUGCAUUAGCUAGUUGGUAAGGUAACGGCUUACCAAGGCAACGAUGCAUAGCCGACCUGAGAGGGUGAUCGGCCACACUGGAACUGAGACACGGUCCAGACUCCUACGGGAGGCAGCAGUAGGGAAUCUUCCGCAAUGGGCGAAAGCCUGACGGAGCAACGCCGCGUGAGUGAUGAAGGUCUUCGGAUCGUAAAACUCUGUUAUUAGGGAAGAACAUAUGUGUAAGUAACUGUGCACAUCUUGACGGUACCUAAUCAGAAAGCCACGGCUAACUACGUGCCAGCAGCCGCGGUAAUACGUAGGUGGCAAGCGUUAUCCGGAAUUAUUGGGCGUAAAGCGCGCGUAGGCGGUUUUUUAAGUCUGAUGUGAAAGCCCACGGCUCAACCGUGGAGGGUCAUUGGAAACUGGAAAACUUGAGUGCAGAAGAGGAAAGUGGAAUUCCAUGUGUAGCGGUGAAAUGCGCAGAGAUAUGGAGGAACACCAGUGGCGAAGGCGACUUUCUGGUCUGUAACUGACGCUGAUGUGCGAAAGCGUGGGGAUCAAACAGGAUUAGAUACCCUGGUAGUCCACGCCGUAAACGAUGAGUGCUAAGUGUUAGGGGGUUUCCGCCCCUUAGUGCUGCAGCUAACGCAUUAAGCACUCCGCCUGGGGAGUACGACCGCAAGGUUGAAACUCAAAGGAAUUGACGGGGACCCGCACAAGCGGUGGAGCAUGUGGUUUAAUUCGAAGCAACGCGAAGAACCUUACCAAAUCUUGACAUCCUUUGACAACUCUAGAGAUAGAGCCUUCCCCUUCGGGGGACAAAGUGACAGGUGGUGCAUGGUUGUCGUCAGCUCGUGUCGUGAGAUGUUGGGUUAAGUCCCGCAACGAGCGCAACCCUUAAGCUUAGUUGCUAUCAUUAAGUUGGGCACUCUAAGUUGACUGCCGGUGACAAACCGGAGGAAGGUGGGGAUGACGUCAAAUCAUCAUGCCCCUUAUGAUUUGGGCUACACACGUGCUACAAUGGACAAUACAAAGGGCAGCGAAACCGCGAGGUCAAGCAAAUCCCAUAAAGUUGUUCUCAGUUCGGAUUGUAGUCUGCAACUCGACUACAUGAAGCUGGAAUCGCUAGUAAUCGUAGAUCAGCAUGCUACGGUGAAUACGUUCCCGGGUCUUGUACACACCGCCCGUCACACCACGAGAGUUUGUAACACCCGAAGCCGGUGGAGUAACCUUUUAGGAGCUAGCCGUCGAAGGUGGGACAAAUGAUUGGGGUGAAGUCGUAACAAGGUAGCCGUAUCGGAAGGUGCGGCUGGAUCACCU